rnacentral:rRNA from 1 species
AACGAACGCUGGCGGCGCGCUUAACACAUGCAAGUCGAACGAGAAGGCGUAGCAAUACGCUUGUAAAGUGGCGAACGGGUGAGGAAUACAUGGGUAACCUACCCUCGAGUGGGGGAGUAACCCGCCGAAAGGCGGGCUAAUACCGCGUACGCUUCCGAUCUUGCGGGAGUCGGAAGGAAAGCUGUCCCAAGGGGAGUGGCGCUCAAGGAUGGGCUCAUGUCCUAUCAGCUUGUUGGUAGGGUAACGGCCACCAAGGCAUCGACGGGUAGCUGGUCUGAGAGGACGAUCAGCCACACUGGCACUGCGACACGGGCCAGACUCCUACGGGAGGCAGCAGUGAGGAAUAUUGGACAAUGGGCGCAAGCCUGAUCCAGCCAUGCCGCGUGAGUGAUGAAGGCCCUAGGGUUGUAAAGCUCUUUCGGCGGGGACGAUAAUGACGGUACCCGCAGAAGAA